rnacentral:tRNA from 1 species
GCCCGGAUAAGCCAACGGAUGAACGGGCGCGCUUGAAACGCGCUGGGUGCCGGUUCAAAUCCGGCUCCGGGCA